rnacentral:rRNA from 1 species
UAGGGAAUCUUCGGCAAUGGGGGCAACCCUGACCGAGCAACGCCGCGUGAGUGAAGAAGGUUUUCGGAUCGUAAAGCUCUGUUGUAAGAGAAGAACGUGUGUGAGAGUGGAAAGUUCACACAGUGACGGUAACUUACCAGAAAGGGACGGCUAACUACGUGCCAGCAGCCGCGGUAAUACGUAGGUCCCGAGCGUUGUCCGGAUUUAUUUGGCGUAAAGCGAGCGCAGGCGGUUUAAUAAGUCUGAAGUUAAAGGCUGUGGCUUAACCAUUGUUCGCUUGGGAAACUGUUAAACUUGAGUGCAUAAUGGGAGAGUUGAAUUCCAAGUGUAGCGUUGAAAUGCGUAGAUAUAUGGAGGAACUCCGGUGGCGAAAGCGGCUCUCUGGUCUGUAACUGACGCUGACGCUCGAAAGCGUGUGGAGCAAACAGG